GCGAGGUGAGGAGACUAGAGCGUUUCUGGCUUGUGAUGUUAGACGCAUCAAUAUGACAAGCCAAAAACAGAGUUUUCAAUGUAGCUCUCUAGUUAAAGCUCUACGUCCUGUUAUUCUAUUGGAAAAGAAGUUGUGCAUUGGAUCAUUGGAUGAGUCCUGAUGUUAUUCUCGAAUUACAUCCUUUACUUUCAUUCAUUUUUAGGUUUGUCCAUAAACAGUGUCUCUGAGCCCUAAUUUCUCAGUUGUGAAAUGUCCAAAACAACAGCGUAUGAUAUGGUUUUAUGGUGACUGAUGAGAAAAUGUGCAAGUCACCUGUUAAUAGAGGUCAUUAUCUCCGUGUCCUUAGUAGAAAGUCAGUAGCAUUAAGAACUCGUGUACUUCAUCAUUCAGUGUACCUCCCCAGGUAUCCCAGUCUCUUGUCUGUCAUGCUUUCUCAUUGCCAAGCCUCUUUUAUGUGUGUUCUCUUCAGCCUCAUUCUUCUCUGCUUGAUCUGGUGUUCAACCCCUAAUACCUAAAUCUCCUACCUUAGGCUUUUCUAUACCACCCGACUUUAACCCACCCGCCACCCCAGCCAAAUAACUUCUUUUCUGAAACACUUUCUUAUUGUCCGAAACAAUUCAGGUAUGUAGGUUACUUCUAAAAAGACUUGUAAAUAACUAUUUUCUCUAAAGAAAGAAAAAGCCAACACCAUUCCCUUUCAGUUCUUGAUCAUGAUUAGUUUUUUUAAAAAAACACUAUCUGGAACAGAGAAAUGGUUCAGUGGUAAAGAACACUCACUGAUCUUCCAGAGGACCCUGACUUGAUUUCCAGCCCUCACAUGACAGCUCACAACCAUCUAUAAUGCCUGCCCCAGGGGUUUGAUUCUGUCUUCCAGUCUCUUUAGGCACUGAAUGCACAUGCUACACAGACAUACCUUCAGGCAAAACACCCACACAUGCAAAAUAAAAAUAAAUAAGCAUUUGCAAAUAUGCAUUCUGUAAAUAACCACAUCGAAGGCACUCACAGACUAGUGUGGUAUAUGAGAAAAGUGCAGAGAGAGCAGUUUCUGUCCAGCUCUGACGAUCUCCCUCCUCUGCCUGGGUACAUUUAUUUCUCAAGACCUCAGUUUCUUUAUCUAUAAGAUGAGGCAGUUGGAGAGAUAAUUCUUGAGAUUCCUUCUGGUUUUAGGAAUACCCUGUGAAUUAGUAUCUCUAUCAAAGGGAAAUGGCCUUCUAGUACUGGUUAGUCAGGGAGUGCAGCUGACCACAGACGGAUGCUCAGAUUGUCCCCGUAGUUCCUUGUUGGAGAGAAGGAGCAUAGACUAGCUCACAGCAGCAUGGGUGGGGACAUUUCUGCUGGUGGGUUGCUACCCUCUCUUCUGCCUUCUCUAGUCCUUGGGCCUGCUGGUCUUCAGCUGCACGGUGCUCUUAGAUGGCUUCCUUGUGUGUCCUUGGUUGGCCUCUCCUUGGGUUGUGAGAUGGCUGGGGGUUGGGGGGUAAAUAUUUCAUCUCUAUCCUGAAAGAGAGUAGCUCUAUGUGUGUUAGAAGCAGAACAUAGAUUAAGCAGACCAUAGAUUUCUCUCCGCUAUGGGGAAAACCAGGAGCAGUCUCACCAGGCAAGCGAUCCAACCAAGGGCUUUGUUAGCCUCCCAAGGGUUGGGGCAGGGGGCACCCAGGGAAUUCAGAAACAGGCAUGUAUAGAGAAGUGUUCUUAUUUGUCUCUUGCCAGUUUUGUUUUUUAGAGUACGGAAAAGGCAUGCUGUCCUCCUUAAUGACAGCGGUCUGAGGAGCUGGGACAGAAGGUGCUGUGUUAAAAGGUUAAUGUGAAACCUCGCUGUAUGCUGAGCACUUAAGGCACCGCUAAUGGGAACUUUCCAGGGAGAAGGGUGGGUGUUAUUAACAUGAAAAUAUGUAUGAGGAUCCUGAAUGAAGGCUUUAUAUGAUAGAGUUGGAAGAUUAUAGGACCCCCGGCUGUUGGAGGAGGGUGGGGAGGGCGGAGAAUGGCUCUGGGAGGCAGACAGAGAGAAGGAGGGAGGAAGAAAGCCUUUGUGGGCUGCCUGUUUCAAGGGUCUAGAAGGAAGGUUUGGGGGAUACUUAGUAAAAUAAGAGACGGAAGAGCGGUAGCAGCCUGAAAUUUUAAGUAGGAAGUACUAAGGUUCGUUUUUAAAAAAAGAAAUAAUUUUCGAGGGUGAGGCUCCUCUGGGAGGGAAACGUGGAGAAAUAAUUGUCUUUGAACUCGAGCCAGGCUGAUCCAGUGAGCCACGCUGCCUUCCUUGAACUUUUGCAGCUAAGGCCCCCGGCUGCUCAGGCUGGACAGGGCUUGGAAAAUGACAUUGCUUUUACAAAACAGCUAGGACAGAGCAUUCCCAGCCACAGGUUCUCAGACGGGCGCUGCAGUCCCAGCCGGCUCUGUCUGGUAACUGCUCUUUCCCUGCCCUGUUUCCCGUGGAUGUGUCUACCUGGGCCUAACAGCCUCCAUCUUGGACUAAUCCUGCCAACAUCUGACUGGGUGACAGAUGCUAUGCACAUUUCAGAAUGGACCUCUGAGUGGUGAAAUACUGUCCCCACUCCAUGAACGAGGAAACCGAGGCUUGGAGAUUAGAUUGUCUUUUUUUUCUCUUCUUAUCCCGGACAUGACUCAGAGCCAGGGUUUAAUCCAAGCAGUUUACUGCCAUAUACCCAGUCUCCCACACUGUUACUCGAUCCUGCACCUGCUUCCCCAUUAUUUUUUACCUCUUUUUUAUUUUUAUUUGUUUAUUUAUUUAUUUUAUAUAUGAGAGUACACUGUCAAUGUCUUCAGACACACCAGAAGAGGGCAUCAGAUCCCAUUAGAGAUGGUUAUGAGUCACCAUGUGGUUGCUGGGAAUUGAACUCAGGACCUCUGGAAGGGCAGUCAGUGUUCUUAACCACUGAGCCAUUACCUCUUUGUCUGUCACUCAGAUUAUAACUAUUCUGGAAUGGGCCUCCGGCCUGUUCUAUGAUCAGGCUAGACAUUGAAGGCCUUCAAAAUGGUCUGCCCUCUUCACUUUCUUUGCUGAUGCUCAAGGGUCUGCCUGGUUCCCUGGUCUUGCUAUUUUAUAUUUUAUGGACCUGUUGCUAAUGUAGAACCAUGGCACUUCCCCGAGGUUUCCUUUAGUACCACAGGUUGCCCCAGGUUCUACAGAAAAGUGGGAUUCUCUGGGCACCGUGGCUGCUAACAGACAGGAAGUGAAUUUUGGGGAGAGGAGAUGUGCAUGGAACAUUGAUACUGAUUAGUGUGGAAUCAGGCCCUUGGUAGUCUCAGAAAGAGAUGAGUCUAUAGGUUUGACUUUUUAGAUGAGGCCAGGGGUGAAAAAAUAUUGACCUUCGGGAUGUCCAGGCCAACUGGAGGAAUUAUGGCUCAGGAUUUGGAAGGCUCUUGUUGCACAUUUUGCCCUCUUAGGAAUGGACCAGUAUCUCCCUGGGCAUAAAAUAAGACAGUACGCAGGCAGAUACACAAUAUUUACGUCUGAGAAAGAAAGGAGUCUUUCAUGUCCCUUUGCCUGUCUGUAUGUUAAAGAGUCUAAAUCUGAUUGGAGAAGAGUCACAGAGUGGUCACUGACCUGGAGGAAGAGAAAGCAGAAUACUGGUCUGAAAGGUUCUGUGGGCCAGGGCUGUCUAGGGAGAAGGGUAGAUCUAAGAGGCUUUUCUGGAGUGUAGGACACUCUUCCUCAGCCCCACCAAGGACAGUAGCAGGUGUGGAGUAGAGCUGUAUAUGCUGAAAAUGGAGAACGGCAGCUCUCCGGAGCUCAGAGGACUGUGAGUGAGUCCCAGGCAUCAAGCAUCCAGCGUCUUACAAUGUUGAUGUUCGUUUGCUUUGCUUUGAUUGUUACUCCACUUCUUCCCAGAAGCAUGAAUGAUGGAAUGGGGUGUAUGGUGUAUGGACACAGCCCGUAUAGGAGUGGUUUGUUAUCCGGGCUGAUGCUAUUGGCAACAGACUCCGGGCUUAGCAGAGCUUUAGAGAAGCAUAUAUGCUAUCUUCACAGUUGUCUAUUGUCAGAUGACGGCUGGACAUUUCCUUGUCUACCACUUCACCUUUGAUAGAAGACUUUCAAAAUGCCUAGAACAUGUGCUAUCUGGACCCCUAUGUAUUUAACAUUGUCACGGAGGCAGGAAAGUAUAAAAUCAACCUGCGAUGCAUAGAACGGCCUGCUAAAAGAACUCAGAAGGCUGUGAGAGGAUGCGAUAGGGACCAACGGUGUCCCCUUAGAGUCCCCUGGAACUCGCCGAGCUCCUGUUAGAUUCCUUGUGUGUGAUUUACAUAGCAGAGGCAAUCUGGUGUUCUGGGUAGAUCUAUUGGCCUGUGUCAGAUCUGAAUUCUGAUUAUAUUACAUUUCCCUACCAUACGUCUUAGCAAGAUACUUAUCUUAGUCCCUGUGGGAUGCUGUAACACAAUACCUUAGACUACAAAAUCAACGGACAAUGGACAUAUAUUGUUUCCCUCUCUGGAAGGUAGAAAGUCACAGAUGGCUGUACCAGCAGAUUGGGUAUCUUGUGGGGGCUGGUUCCUUCAGUUGAAAAGGGACAAGGGUGUGUCCUGGGGUUUCUUUUUUCCUUUUCUUUCCCUUUUCUUCUUUCUUUUCCCUUCCUUACCUUUUCCCUCCCCUGGUCCAUUUCCUUACCCUCCCUCCACGCUUUCCCUAUGCAGCCCUAGAAAGCCUUAAACUCAUGAUGAAGUCCAAGCUCUCUCAAGCUUACGAUGGGAUUCCUACCCCAGUCCCAGUGCUGUAAUUACCUUCAUGGCCUACUCUGCCUGGCUUCCUCGGGCUGAUUAUCUGACACAAUCCCCUUCCUGAGGGCUGUGCUCUUAGCACUCAAUCACUCCUUUAACAGCUCCACCUCUCAGUCUAUCACGUUGAGUGUUAGGUUCGAACAUUUGCAUUUUGAGGAGGUAUCCUCCUUGGGGCAAUCAUUAACUCUUGACCACCCUAAGCUUUUGCCAUCUGGGAAGGGUUACUAAAAGCUUCUUGAAGAUGUUGGCGUGGACUGUCCCAACCAGGCAGAGUACUCAGCUCUGUGGCAGUGAUAAGAAGCUAACAGAUUUGGCUUCCCCAGAGUAAUAUACCAGAGGAACAUUUGGGGAAGUCACUGCUGUCUAAAUGGUUUGGUCAAAGUCCCAAACAAGCUUGGGCUAAGACGUCAGCGUAGGAAGGUAUGAGUGACCUUCCCUGGUGACACGGAAGUAGCAUUCAUUUUUUCCCCCUCCACUCAUGUAUGACUUUGGUAGAGUGUAGAAAAAAAAUGAUGUUUAUUAUAUUUCGUUCUUACCUUUCUCAGGAGCCUGUUCCGAAUUUGUUGUUGAUGACAUUCCUUCUAGAGAUCAUGUCCCUAUGUGUUCUAAAGAACUGCCCUGAGGUAGGGCGUGAGGCUCCCUAGUUAAACUUCUUGAGUCAUCCUGGCGAUGGGUGGAUGCUAUUGGCACAAUCCUAGAUUAGAAGUAAAUCAAGCUGUUUCUGAUAACUUUUGCUAUGUUUAACAUAGAAUAGCCAUUUCCCUACAGUUUGCUGGGUAGGGUACUGAACCCAGAGGAUCUGACUAGGGAAUGAGCAACCUGAGUGCCCUUUCUUUUUAAGAAAUGUCACUAACAUCUUUUGGAAACAUCAGGAAUGUGAUUGCUGGAAGUCAGGGAUGGGCAUGAAGAGUCAAGAUUUAAUUCUAAGUUUAGAGUUCAGCCAUUUUCCUACAUCAUGAGUUGGCAUAGUAUUAAAAAAAAUGGCUGAUUCAGUAACUAGACAGCAGGUUGGUAUUAUACAACUGUUUUGGUUAGAGUGAACUGACAAGGAGUUGGACCCCCAGGAGGAGAGAAGUUACUGCCCCACAAAGCCCAGGUAGAUGCUGCUAAAUGUUUGCUUAGUGAGCUGUUCUGACGUUUGGCUUAUGUCCCCUCACUCCAGGUAAAGCAUGGAUGUUCAAUAAUCAGAAUUCCCGGAUAAAGGGCAAAGGCGAUGAAGUGGACUAUGGGACUACCAAGUAUAGCCACAGUUAGCUCUGAUCAAUGGCUAUAUACAUUUGGGGUCAGAUGAUAAUACAUAAUUACAAGGUUUCUACGUUGUUAGUUAUCGAGCCUGACAUUCUAAUUUUAGCCCCAGUCUUUCCAGUACAACUAAAACAACUAGUCCAGUACUUUGUUUCUAGAUAAAACAGGUUUUUUUUAGGAGUCUGCUGUCACAUUAUUAUACAAGAGUGAUAAAGACUGAUACUGUGGGGUGCUUCAUGAACUGAGCUCCACUUGGUCUGAGAAGCAACCAUCUACUGCCCGUGUUUGCUCUGCAGAUUUGCCCUUGACAUCAGAAACGGUGGUUGUGUCCUUGUUACCUUCCUGUGAUGACAAAGUUUAUGGUGACUUGACCUGGCUUCUGGUUUUGAAAGUGAUCAUUUUUAAUUAAGUAGACACUCACUGGCCUGAGGGUAUUUUCAGUGUCUGUCUACUGUUUGCUGAAGCAAAACAGAAAGGGAGAAUAUACCAAAGUAACAAACCCAGUCACUGUGUCUGCUAUGACAGGGUUUAUCUCUGGGUGAGGAAACUACGGAGGAAGGGCAGUAUGGAGCAUAGUAGGUCUGAGCGCCUACUAUGAGCACUGUGAUAGGAAGUGGAUAAGGAAGUGUAACAAAAGUUUCUGUUUUGCUUGACUGUGCUGGCUGGUCUUACUUAUGUCAACUUGACACACAAACCAGUUGUCUGAAGGAGGGAACCUUAAUUGAGAUAAGAUGCAGCUCUAAGGCAUUUUCUUAAUUAGUGAUUUAUGGGGGAGGGUCCAGCCCAUUAUGGAUGGGGCCAUCUCUGGCUUGGUGGUACUGGGUUUUAUGAGAAAGCAGGCUGAGCAAGCCAGGGGAAGCAAGCCAGUAAGCAGCACCCUCCAUGGCCUCUGCACCAGCUCCUGCUUCCAGGAUCCUGACCUGUUUGUCCUAGUCUGGCUUCCUUCAAUGAUGAAGACUGACUGAUCUGGAAGUGUCCGCUAAAGAAACCCCUUCCUCCCCAACUUUCUUUUUUGGUCAUGGUGUUUCAUCACAGCAACAAAAACCCUACCUUAGACAAUGACCUUAGAGCCUGGGCAGUGAGGCACUGUAUGCAUGUCAGAGGCAGAGGUCUCUAUGAGUUGCUCUGUGAACAGGGUCUGCGUGAAUGAUGCACACAUAAGGUCCUAGAAAAUCAAAGUCAGGAUCAUCUCACAGGAACUGCAGGGCUUAAGUAGUCCAAUGAAGGAUGACUGCAAAAAGACGAGAGAUCGAACUUCCUAGGCAUGCUUUGUAAAACUUAGUAUUGUCUGGAAAUCUAACCAAAUGAAUUCACCCUGUUAGAAGUGGCCAGCAGGAAGGAAGUCUCGUCUUUGUGCCCAGGGUUGUUUUCCGUUGUUUUCCUGACAGGAAAAUAGUCUGCCACCUCCUUUGCUUUGCCUAAUGAUGACAUCACCUCCACAGCUGAGGGCUCAGGUGUCUUUGGAGGUUUUGUUAAUACUGUCCUACAGACAGGGUGGGAAAUUGGAACUCUUACUGUGCACUUGACAGAAGUCUCCUCCCUUUCCAGAGGCUAGUUCCACUAGAAAUGGCACCAUUUCUUUGUUACUCUUGGGUAGAAAACUACAUGUAGAUGGUGUCUUGAGAGUGAUAACAAGUUUAUCUGAAGAGAAGCUGUCCAUGAGUCUAACAUCAAAUUGUCCCUGUGUCUUAGUUAGGGUUUUACUGCUGUAAACAGACACCAUGACCAUGGCAAGUCUGAUGAGGACAACAUUUAAUUGGGGCUGGCUUACAGGUUCAGAGGGUCAGUCCAUUACCAUCAAAGUGGGAAGCAUGGCAGCAUCCAGCAGGCAUGGUGCAGGAGGAGCUGAGGGUUCUACAUCUUCAUUCGUUGACCGCUAAAAGAAGAAUGGCUUCUAGGCAGCUAGGAUGAGGAUCUUAAAGCCCACACCCAUAGUGACACACUUCCUCUAACAAGGCCACACCUACUCCAACAAGGCCAUACUUCCUAAUAGUGCCACUCCCUGGUCCAAACAUAUUUAAACCACACCCUGUCUCGGGUUUUCAUACAUAGUAUGCUUUAGUUGCCUAUAACUGUGUUUGCUCGUCUCUUCUGAGCGUCACCUCUGCUGGGUGAUGGGGACUACCGUGGGUUUUAAUUUUCAGGAUACCUAUCUCAGAAUUCCCACUCGCUUCAGUUUCCUACCUUUACCCUGUAAGAACUGAAAUUUCUCAUCCUGGAAAUAUAUAUCUAUAUAUCUAUAUAAUCUAUAUAUCUAUAAUCUAUAUAUAUUCUCUAUAUAUCUUGCAAAUACAUAUAUAAUUAUAUAUAUAUAUACAUAUGCAUGUGUAUAUGUAUGUGGUAUGCAUGCAUGUGUGUAUGUAUGUUCACAUGUAUGCAGGCACACUUUUUCUGAGGUCUAUGUUCUUUAGCACUGGGAAGCUGGCUAGGUUUCUGAGACUAGGCAUGAUUUCCCUCCUGUUGAGUGGUCCUUAAGUCCAAUGUGACAGCUGUUGGUUGCCACUGACACAUGAUUACAACUUAUUAUACCUUUGUGCAUAUCUUGCGGUGCUGGUCAUUGCUAUGAUUCGGAGAUGUGGCAGCUGGGUCGGACUGUUUAAUUACUUUCUUCCCUUGGCAGCUUGCACAAUAUUUUUUGGGACCGUGGAGGCUAGACUGCAGGAAAAAGGCCUUUAGGUCAAUCCAGAUCAAAACACUGUAAUUCUAAAUCCCAAGUAUAUGAUGUUUUCAGCAGUAGGGGUCUACCCCCGAUCCUGGAGAGGCAAUGGUGGGUUACAGCAAUGGUCUAUGUUGUUUGGAUGACCCUGACUGACCAUUUGAAGGGAGUUUUCUUGUGCCUAGAAUUGGGAAUUUGUCAAUUUAAGUGGUUUAACUUACUUUAAGGUCACACACACACACACACACACACACACACACAGUGUAUGAUAUUAGUGAAGUAGAGAAUUGAAACUUUAUCAAGCAACAGUGGUGUUAUUGGUCCCUUGACCUUAUCCUUUGGUUUUACCCUCCCCCUCCCUCCCUCCCUCCCUUCCUCCCUUCUUUCCCUGUCAGUUGCUCUGACUGGUAGGGCAUGAGCUGGGCUUCAUAGCCCCUGCAGUGGCCAGUGUACAGACAGCUGUUUUAAGUGCAAAUUGAGCUCUUGCUGGGUAACUGCCUAUAACAAGCAACGAAUGCUUGCCAGGUCCUUAAAUUUUUUUUUCUUUUCUUUUUUUCGGAGCUGGGGACCAAACCCAGGGCCUUGCGCUUGCUAGGCAAGCGCUCUACCUCUGAGCUAAAUCCCCAACCCAGGUCCUUAGAUUUUUGCUGUUACUCUUUCAUUUAUUUCUCUAGGUCUUAUCUUUUCAGUUCCAGGUUUCUUGUUUUUAAUUCAGUUCCUUUUAUGUUUUCAAAAGUCUGAGAAUGCCACUUACUUGGAGGAAGUGGUGAAGCACCCCUGUGUCUUCUUCCUUCUUAUCCCCAUGUGAUGCCUCUCCAAACGAUUGUACGGGAAUCGUUUGCUCAUCCACUGUUGCGACGCUGGGGAUUAAAUUCAGGGCCUUCUGCGUAUGGGAAAUUUCUCAACAUAAUUUUAUUUUCUGAAUAAUGUCCGGCUCUGUGUUUCUCAGCAACUGUUUUUCUUUUCUUUUUCUUUUUCUUUUUUCUUAACGAAGAUAAAAUGCUUUAGAGACUCGAUUACAAUAAUGACAUAAGUUAGACAUCCCAAGGGAGAGAGUUCACAAAGAGACUUCUCCAGUGGCGGAAGGGCAAGCCUAUAACUGACCCUCAUGCUUUGUUCUCUUCAUGGGAAGGUUGAUUUUAAAAAUGUGCACAGAGCUUAGCGACUAUUACAGAAUACGAUAGGCUCCAGGGUGUCAGUGAAAUAGUAUAUCCUGGCUACAUGGUGUUGGCAAGUCAGGUGGAAUGCAUCAGAAAGGGUACGACUGAGGAUGUGCAUUCACAGGUAGAUGUGGGUGUCGCAUAAGGUCUGUCUGGUGAGCCUGGGCCAAGAUCCCCGACUGCAGAACAGAGUUGGGAGAACCUGGAGAGGGGGUGGGUUUUACUGAAGGAGUGAGGCACAAGGACGUGUGAGCCAGUUUGCACACAGCACAGAAAAACCUGAUAGAACAAUGACAGGCCUUGGAGAUUCCAGAAUUUAGAGUUCCUAAAUCGGUCACUGUGGAAGAGAGACAACUCCUUUACUAUUCCCUCCAAAGUAGGAGAGCCCUUACCGUGAGGAGAGGGAUGGAAAAGCUUGAAAGGUCAGGGGCCACUUGGUUGGGUACCAGCAGGCUGAACUCUUGUGGGCACGGCAAUAGCAACAGAACUUCUAUUUGGUGUGGCGUCUCCAAGCGCCAGUGUCUAAGUACAGGACAGCCACACCCCUGAGCCACAGAUGCCAUCUGGGCACAGGACAGAUGGGCAACCCUCCUAAUCUCCAUGCCUUUCAGGGCCUUGUCAUUAACAAAAGCAGGGCUUUUGUUCAAACUUUUGCUCUUUGGGAGUGACUUUUGGGUUUGUUGUUGUUUAGUUUUGAAAUUGUAAAAUAAAGGGUCAAACAUUUAAAUGGAAAAAAGUUAAAAGACAAUAACCAAAGAUUGCUAAGAUCCUAGAAGAGUCCUCUAUUUCGUAAGCUGGAAUCUAAAUUAUGACUUCUUUAUCCCCGGCCCUCCAAUCGCUUCAGACUCUGUGCUAAUUGUUUCCUUGAUUUCCUUACAGGUUUUUACUCUUUAUGUGGGCAUUUCUAAACAAUGCUGGUGAUUGCUACUUACUCCCCUCUUGCUAUAACAUUUCCUGUGUUUCCCCACGUCUUACUUUCCUUUUUCACUUGACAUGCUGUUUAUUAAUAAUUUCCUUGCUGUAUGGUUCUCUGUUGUGGAUUUUACCACAAUGCAAUGUGUUGAUCCAUUGUGCCCUCAGUAGACAUUUAGGUCACUUCUGAUUUGGUGUCAUUAUAGACUAGUAUUGUCACCAAACAUUCAUAUCCAUACAUGCUGGAGCACAUGUGUACAGUUACUGGGAGGUUAAAAGCUAGGGACACUUAAGCUCACUCUUUGCUGGUUCCCAAGUGGGGCGUCCAUUUUCUUCUAUAAACAGUAUUCCACAAGGGAGGCCAGGAGCUAAGAGCAAGAUGGUGUCCUUGAGUCUUUUUUAUGUUAAAUGCACCCCAGUGCUUUGUUCUCAUCCGUAUGUAUCUUGCUUUCUGGAGUCUACUUGCUUUUGUGCUGUGUUAUAAAACAACGGACUUCACCGAUUCCCAUUCCAAAGUGCAAAAGAAAUCUUGGCCUCCUGGCUCUCAAGCAACAUCUUUGCUGAGGUCGAUUUUAAUAGAGCAACUCCAGCUUACGUUUUAAGCCAGAUACUUUCUUAAGGAUAUUUUCAUUACAUAAUGAAAUAGAGGAUUAAAAAAAAUGGCCAAGCUAUUCCCUCAGAGGCCUGCCUGUCCUUUUUAUGAUUCUGAAUUAGCUUGACUUGGGUCUUGGUUGAAAGCAGGAGAAUUAUAUAAGGGGAUAGCUGAAAGUGAUCGGAUUAAAAUAUCUCACUAGCUCAUGCUAGAGAGGACGAAUGAGAACCUGGAGCGCUGUCCGAGGCAUACGGUGGCGAUCCCUCUAGAACUCGACACGCUUGGAUGUCAACCGUGUCUCAGGCAGGAGACCGCAGCGAAGAGGUUCAGAGGGUACUCGUGCUGUUACGAGUUCUCUCUGCCAAAGUGGCAAAAUGUCAAAAUGGAGACUUUCCACAAUGUUGCCCUUUGCCAGAGGCGAAGACUGAAGCAAUUGAGAGCUGGAGCAGGCUGGGCAGCCGGCAGGCCAAUGCAUGUAAUGCAUAGCAUUAAAGAUAGUUAGCACAAAGAAAUGGUUGUUAUUGUGCUUCGUCCAAGUUGGGCUCAGUAGCUAAUUAAGUGUAAGCGCCUUCUCCCCCCCCCCCCGUGGUCAUAUGCAGUUUUUGAAUUCUUCCACCACUAACUGUUUUAAAGAAGAAGUUAAAUGCAGAAUGCAUUGAGUUUGGUAGAGAGUUUAAAGGUCUCCAUUUUCCCACUAAAGCUAUUUAAUAUCAGCUGUGGAGUGGGUGUGUGUAUGUGUGUGUGUGGAGGGCUGUGACCUCCCUUAUUUUUACAACCAUUGCCAUGAUUUCAUGGUACUGGCAGCAGUCGCCCAAAGGGAAGAAGGAGACUUUAUUACAGUAAUUAUAUGCCAGAAUGUGGGUAUUAAAACAGAAAUACUUUUCUACUGAUAAUUAAAUGUCAAAGGAAAAAUGACUUUGCCCAACCAGCAGCCCUCCGUUGUGUUUCUAAUACACUAAUGGCCUCUGUGAAGACAAGGUGGUGUCCGUCGUAGGUUAGAGGUUCAGAUCCCGUGUGGCCUUCGGCUUUAGUUUCAGGAUGGUAAAUAGAGCAGUUGGAGAGGCGGGACAUGUCAAGACAAGGUAGGUUGAUCUCCCCCCUCUCCCCGCCCUCAGUGUAAAGUCAGAUAUGUAUUUACUUGAAAAGAUGUGGCCAUGGGAUCUGCAGACAGGGUGUGGCCCUCCCAUUGAAUUACACUGCUGUUUCUGCGAUCCUGUGGUGCCAAGGAUCAAACUUGGGGCCUUGCACAUGCUAGGCAAACAGGGAUCCCCAGGCCAUACCGGAUCCUUUAUCUCUUUUCUCUAAUAUGUUUUGGUGCAUUUGCGAAUGCUGGAAGAAAAAGAAUAUGGCUGGAAAUUUAUCCAUAAAUAGUGUUUUUCUGACUUAUUUAAAAAUGUAGUCCUAAUAAGAUAAAGAAGGGCAGAUAUGUACCAGAAGACACAAUUUUUAAAAUUAGCCCUAUGCUGAAAAAAAAAAAUAAGCCUGUGGCUACUAAGUUCUAUUCAUCAAACACUGAUUGGAGACCAAUACAGGCCUGAGAUGGUGAGUGUGAUCCCUAUGUCAGAAGACUGCAUCAGGCCGAGUUUGAUUCACUCCGCCAUUGAGUUCGGUUCGAGCACCAAAACAACUUGUGAGUUUCUUUGACCACCCUCAAAUAGCUAAAAGGUACAAUUCUUUCUAAUCUUUGAUAUGAAGUGGGCACUUGGAUCAUUUUCUGAGGUGCUGAUUAGCCCGCGAGGAUAAACAGAUAUUUGUAGGAAACCAGUAGCAAACAUCAGAGCAAAUUUGAGAGUUCAGUCUCCAUCAACUGAGAAUCGAGACACGGUGCCCUGCUUGAACUUUUGGCCAGUUGGUAAGCCACCCAGACCAUCUGAAAGCUAUCCUGGACCUUUCUAUAAUACGUGCGUUUGAUUCGGAUACAAAUGCUUGAGGUUGAUUUUCAGUUGGAGUUUCAGCCUGUACUGUUUUCUUCGUGGUCAUGUGGAAGGAUCUGGUUCAGUAUGUCUAGAGUGGGGUUGUCUUCAACAAUGAGCUAUUCAUGGGCCCUGAGCGAGCUACCCAGGACAGAGGAGACGGCUGCAGACCCUGCGGGCAGUUGGCCAUGUUCCAGUCCAGAUAUUCUUGGGAAUGUGGAAUUAUUUGAAUCAAAGGGAAAUAAAUCUUUUGCAAAUGUUAAUACAAAUGGCUGUGGGAAGGGCUUGGUGCUAAAAGAGUAGCUGAGGAUUCUUGGUGCCUAUUGAGCUAUUUUUUUUUUUUUUGGCAGAGAACAACUAGGUUGCUACGGGAAUGAUAAAGACAUGAUGAUCAUGAUAUUUUAACAGCUCUCCUUACAGUGUUGUACUGUGUCCUCUUCAGCUACUCUGGGAUGAUAAAGCUUCCUCUUUGAAUCAUCUGACUCCUCUUAUCUUCUGUUUAGUUUUCUUACUCGGUUGCAUUUGAACUUGAAGGCGCAACACUCCGAGUCUGACCAUGGGUCCAGCUGUAGCUUCCUUUCUUUGCACCAGCACAUUCAAGGUUUCUAUGGCCAGCUGUAAGCUUCCUCUUUCAUAAGUUCAAUUGGAAGAGGGUGUACCCUGGGAGAUCUGAAAGACUCUAUACUGUUCUGAUAUAAUGGAAACAGGAAACUGUAUAGUAUGUGCCAAAGCCAGUUGUUCCGGGCUUCCACUGUGGGGAAGUCACUAAACUGUGCCUCUGUAUUUGUAAAAUAGAGACAAUUGCAUAACUACUGUGAUGGCAUGAGCUCCUUAGACCGUGUAGAUAAAAUUCUAGCAAGGUGAUCACACGUAUCUGUCUCUCAAAAAGCUAAAACUAGAUCUACCAUACGUCCCAGCAAUAAUUCUCCUGGGUCUUUACUCAAAGGACACCAAGUCACCACAGCAAAGAUGCGAACACAUCAAUGUUUGCUGAGGCACUCCGCAGCAGCUAAGCUCACAGAGGAACAGAUAAAGAAAAUGCGGCCUACAUCUCAACAAGAGGGAAAUCAUGUUGGGCACUGGAAAUCUAGCCGACUAGUCAAGGUUGGUGAAGUCAUGGAACUUGUCUACCCUCAGCAGGUGAUGCCUACUAAACUAACAUCGCUCCUAACUGUAUCCUAAAAGGAAAGGAAAUAUGUUCUAGAUACAGACUAGAGAUUGCUUAGAUAUAAAAAUGAAUGAAGUUAUACAGUGUGCAGGAAAGGAAUGAAACCGGAGACAAUCAGAUUAAGCGAAUUGAGCCUAGACUCAGAGGAACAAACAUCACGUAUUCCCUCACUUGCGGGCCCUGGAUUUUAUAUAGAUAGCUACAUAGCACCAUGUAUGUACACAUGACACAAAAGUAGAAGGGAAAGUGUCUAGGGGAAUGAGGAAAAGUAAUGUGAGACAGAGGGGAGAAGAUGCAGAGAGGGGCGGCCAUCACAGGAAUAUAUUCAAUGUAUAAUAUAUACAUAAAGUAUAAUAUAUACUUUGUGAAAAUGUUCCCCCAUAGCACAGUACUAUAUACAUUGAAUGUAUACAGUGAAAAUCGAACAGCAAAUACACCUAUUACUUUGGCAGGCUCAGCCAUAAGGGGGGAAGCAAAUUUAGCCUCCCGUGUCUUCUUUGUUCUGUUAUCGUUCAGCCUGCCUUUGGAAUCAUCAGUGUGGGUCAUGGCCUGCUGGGGAUACUAGCCUCCAACUUUAUCUUCUGUGCUGGGAUCUUCAUCUACCUUUGGCCUUUCCUCCGUAUCCCAAUGACCCCUGAGCACUGAAGUGUCCUGGGACCCUGUAUUUUCCUUUUUGUCUACUCUCAGCAGGUGAUGCCAUCUGCUCUCAUCCCUUUCACUACUAUCUGUGUGUUAAUGACACCAACAUUCAUGUCUCCAGGCCGCAGAUAAAUCUCCUUUGUGUGUUCAACUGCAAUCUCGAGACACACCUCUAAUAGGACUCGUCUGCUAAUUAUGUCAAUCAGUUUUAUUAACUGGGUAUCUAGGAGGCACCUUUGGGACUAGACUCACGAUCAUAAUCCCCUGAAAUCCAAGUCCUUCUCCCCUGGCCUUUAUCAUUCUUGCAAAUGGGGAUUCCACCCGAGAUGCCUUUGAUUCUUUUUCUCAUACUCCACACCCAACCCACCAGAAAGCCCAGCUGGUUCCACCUGCAGGAAUCUAAUAGCUUCUCACCAUCUCUGCUGAUUCUGUCACAGUCCAAGACACUCCCAUUCAAGCUACCACCAUCAUCGUUAUGUAACCAUAACAGGUCAACAAUACGAUGCAGCUGCUUCUCAACUUGUGGGCAACCUGGGGCAACCCUCCGUCUCCACAAAUAUUUGCAUUACGAUUCAUAGCAGUAGCAAAACUACAGUUACGAAGAAGCAACUAGAUAAUUUUAUGGCUGGGGAUCGCCACAACAUCAGGAACUGUAUUAAAGGGUCACUGCGUUAGGAAGGUUGAGAACCACUGGUUUAAGUGGAAAGCAGGUGGGUUCUCUUUUAUUCCAUACCUUCCAAUACCAAGAAACUGGAUGAGCUGUCCCUUGUGUUGUCCCAAGACUAGGCCGCCUCUGCUUUUGGCUUUUGCAUUUGCUCAAAAUUUGGGAACAGCAACCCACUGAUCUGCACAGAGCUGGUUCCUCAUUUCUUGUCACCUGUUAAUUAGUAAGGCCAUCUUCUGCACCCUGCACAGUGGGUACCCUUCUCUUCUCCAGCCAGGAGCCUACUCCCUCAUCUCCCCAUGUGUGCCAACAUCUGACAUAUGUUUUUCUUCACUACCAGAUUUAAGAAGGCAAGAAUCUUCUUCUCUGCUGGCAUUAUUAUUUGUCCACCUGUUCGAUAAAUGAAGCAAAGGUCCCUGACAAUUUGCCUUUAAGAACAGGAGAUUGAAAUAAGAUUUUAUUUUUAUUGAAAUCUUUCAGUAUCCUAACCUAGUGUUUAUCUAAAUUUAUUUACACAGUCCAACAUGGGAAUACGCCGGGGAUGAUAAUUAAUUUACCCUUCAAGGUUGGUGAUACAGAGAGCGAUUUAAAACUGCUUGGAUAUAACAUGGGCGCCUGAAUGCAUGCUCCACUGAGCUCUACCGCUGAGUUACUUAUUUCCAAGAGGAGUGCUAUUUUUCUUAAAGAGAUAAGUACCUUUAGCCUGUACUGGUGCAGUCACAUCAUAUAAGAAAGUGGAAAAAUAUACCAAUUGCUCAUGUCAGGGAGCCAGGGGAUGAACAAGACAGAAAGGGGCCAAAGUCACCUCUCUCUGGAGGAUAAAUAGUUCCAUUCAGUAACUGUAUGACUUCAUUUCUUUAAACCUCAAUUCCAGUAUCCGUGAAGUAGGAGGCUUAGAGUAUAGUAUUUGUGAAGUCCAUUCUCUCCCUCUCUCUCUCUCUCUCUCACACACACACAUACACACACACACUCACACACACACACACACACACAACACUAUAAAAGGUCUCAUAUUCAGAUUCUCAGAUAAAGCUUCUGUUAAGGACUAGAGCAACAGGUUACUGGUUGAGAGUAUGUAUUGUUCUUGCAGAGUACCCGUGUUUGGCUCCCAGCACCCAUAUCAGAUGUCUCACAACUGCCUAUCAUUCCAGUUUCAGGGCAUCUGAUUACACGAUACACAUAGUCUCAUGCAGGGACACACAGCCAUGUAUAUAAAAUAAAUACAUUUUAUAAAACCUUCUGUUAAAAUGGAAAUCUCCUUGGGGGCCAACCUCCCUCUCUGCAAAACGGAAAGAUGUUUUUGUCUAAGGCAGAUUCUAAGACUCACGUUUGCGCGUGUUUUUUUGUUUGUUUUUUUCUCUCCUUAUUUUCAUUGUGCUUUUUUGAAUUCUGCCCCUCUCCCACAAUGAUGGUGAAAUUAAAUUUCUCUUAUUUCCUACCCCUUUCUUCUGUUAUUUUAAAUUUAUUAUCGAACCGUUUAUUUGAAGCCGUGGUCACACAUAUGCACAGAAGAUGAGGUCUUGUGACACACAUUUCUAGAUAUGCUAUACAAAGUUUUGUCUUGGUGACUGCCAGAAAUGCCUUGAAACUGUGUGGGGGAGCAGAGUUCACUCUUGAGAACCAAGCUUUGCAGGAGGACAGGAAAUGGUCUAUUGAGAAACUGGUGACGUGAAAACACUGAAAUCCAUCUUCAGCCUGGGUUCUGGUCAGUUUGAUUGGGAAAUAGCAGCAUUUUAAAUCUGAAUGUCUUCUCGUAUUCCUGUGAUCUUUGUUAUGGUUUCUAGGCGAAGAUCUGGGCUGCUGGGAUAGUCUUUUGGUUAACUGAUUACCCAUAAGGGCUGCUUAUACCUGUCUCUUAGCUGUGUGCCUUGGGUGCUUGUACAGGUGCAGAAACAGAGAAAGUAGAAGACCUGUGUUUGAGAUAAAAGCCUUCAUGAAAGGGAGAUCAUGUUAAUAUUUAACAAAUGUGCAUGGGCACUGGGCUGAAGUGGGAGCAGCUUUCUGGAAAGAUGUUUAUCAAAUCUACAGUUCUUUCUGGUGUGUGUGCUUGGGAGUGUGUGUGCGUGUGCCUGUAUAUAUGUGUGUGCAGGCCAGAGGUAAACUUCAAUGUCAUCCCUCAGGAUCCAUUCAGUCUGGUUUUUGAGAUAUAGUCUCUCACUGGGACCUGAAGCUUGCCAAUUAGGCCAGGCUAGAUGGAUAGGAGACCCCAAGGAUCUACCUCUCAACUUGAAAGUAUUGGGCUUGCAAGUGCACAUCACCACACAUGGUUAUUUAUUUUACUUUUGUAUGGGCUCUGAUGAUCUUACUUAGGCCUUAAUGCUUGUAUAGCAAGUGCUUUUUUUUUUUUUUUACAAAGUUGUAGACUUUAAAAUGGGCAUUAAAACCCCCUCCAAACACACCCAUACACAUACACACACAGGUCAGAACGAAAGAGGUGGGAAUUUUCUCUGGAAAAAAUGGCUGAAAUUAGAGGCCAUUAGAGUGAAUUAGAAUGGCUGAGGGGACAUCACAAUACCGUAGAGCUAAAUAAUGUUAACUGUGCACAUGCGGAACCAGUGUGAAUCUUUUCCCAAAGCAUAGCAUUUGCCACUGACGCCUGUGAGCAUUUUCAUGCUUAAAGAUUUUAGAGGAAAGUAAGCACACUGGGAGAGAACCAAGAAUAUGUUUGAGGUCUUAAAAAGAAGUGAUCACAAAAAUCAAUAAUUUAGGGAUCUACCUAUUGGGCUAGUAGAGCAGCGAGCAUAGGAAAAAAUACAUUUGUAAUCUGUCCUUGGGUAGUUGAUGUACUAACUCCUAGAGUGGUUAUAAAAAUAUAUACUCUGACUAUAUUUAGCAUUAAAUUUGAAAUGCCUUGACUGGGUUUGUGUCAAUUGAAGUUACAUCAGAAAUGUCAGCAAGCAGAGAGCAGAGGCACACACCACAUGAUGACCUGAUUCCAUAGGCAGACCAGCGCUGGGAAGCCAAGGAGGGGGAGGCUAGAGGUCGAGUUCUAGCUGCAGAGAACUUCUUUUUGCCCUUGAGGGCUGGGCAUAGAGUGAUUAGUCAUCGUAGGACAGCAGCUAUAUCGCCUGUCCCAUUGACUCAUUUACUAGGAAAAAGGCCAAGUGUCAGGAAAGAGAGAUGGGGUGGAGAGAAGGGGGAACUCAUUAUAGCGUUUUGUCAGGAACACCCAAAUGCUCACGGAUUCUACAACCUACACUUCAUUCUUCUAACGCCAUUCCACCGUUCAAUCCAUCCGACGAACAGUAGUCCAUGAGUUCUGACAAAGAUUGGGUGACAUAAACACAACCAGGGACAAUGUAUACUCUCAACUCACAAAGUUCUUUUGUUCCUCUUCCCAAGUAACUCCUGGUCCUACCACACUCCCUGAGGCAAUCCACAGCUAUUCGUGUGAGAGCAUGUAUGUGCGUCUGUGUGUAUGUUUGUGUCUUACCAUUCGUUAGUCUGGGAAUUUCAUAUUACAACCAUAAAACAUGUGCUCUCUUAUAUAUAAAGAUUCCUUCGCUUGACUUAAUAUUUUCGAGAUGUCUGAUUUUGAACAGUUGAAAUAAUGUACACCAGUCUUUGGAGAUUCUUGGGUUAGCAUCAGAAAUGCUGGGCGGUGGUUGAACAUGCCUUUAAUCCCAGCACUCAGGAGGCAGAGGCAGGUGGAUCUCUGAGUUCAAGGUCAGCCUGGUCUACAGAGUGAGUUCCAGGACAGCCAGGGCAGCACAGAAAAACCCUGACUCUAUAAUCAAGAAUUCCAAAGUAAGUAAGUAAGUAAGUAAGUAAGUAAAUAUAAAAUAAUUUUUUUUAACUGAGGUAGAGAGGGUAAUGCGGAGGAGAGGAAAUGGACCCUAAGGUUAGAAACUCUGACCACUUGGUUUUCUGAUGCAAGGUUGAGGACUGGUUCUUGUCAAGGUCAUGCAGGUUGAGUUGAAACUGGAACCCAGGUCUCCUGAUCCACUCUUGGAACAGGGAGCCAGCAGCUGAGUGAGGUGGUUGCUUUGAGCCAAUGCCAUGUGAUACUAGAGAGUUUCGACAGAGCUUUGCUUAGAGGAUGUGAAACUACACUAACCUCAUGUGACAAGAGAUCCUUGGAGGCCUUGGUGUGGGGCCAGGAGAGGAAGUCUGCAUGGCUUCUGGUUACCGGCUCUACCUCUGAACCCACUGGCCUGGGGUGACUUAUGGCGAACCUUCUCAUUUGCAAUAAAACGAGACAUGGGGCAGGAAACGCUUUUCUACACCACCGUGCUUAAAGGCAGGGCGCCCCUAAAAAAGGCUGGGUGGGCGGGGCCUCUAAAAGGCACCUUCAGCCACACGCCCCUCCCAGAGCAGAGGAUCUGGUGCUGAAAACACACCUCUUGGGAGGGAGAGAUGCUGUGGUUACAGACACAGCCUUUGUGUCUUGUAUGCACGUUCCAAUUCAGCCCCAGAUGACAAUGACCUGGUAGUUCCUGCCUGCCAGCUGUUGGCUGGCCUCUGUGAAAGUCCCCAAUGUUUGGGCCAAUGCCUCGUGGGCAGGUAUCCAUAUCACGAGGCCAACUGGCACCGUUGGCACCUUUGUUGGUCAAAUGAGCACAGUGACUUGGAACAGAGGUGGCCGAUCCACCCUCCCUACCAGCUGGCCGGUGGGAGCCUGUGGGCAGGUGCCCUGGGGAGAGAGAGGGUUCCGGUUGCCAUGGUAACUGUUCAGAAAAGGAGGUUUCCUCCUCAAGGUCAGUUUGAUCUCUUUUCUGCCAGGGGAAGAAAUGGAUCUGUGGCAGCCAUGUCAUGUAUAUCAAUUCGUGUCUCAUCUGUUUGGAAUCUUCACUUCUAAUUGGACCUAUUAUUAGUUAGUGUCUGGGAGAAUCUGAGGGCUGGUGGAUCUGUUGAGGGAUGUCAUUAUAGUGAAGACUAGGUCACCAGAGAAGUCCCAGAAGAAUUAUUCCAGUGUAUACCAAGCAGAGCUGGACAAAGAAUUCCAAAGGCUUUUUUUUUUCUCCCAAGGCAGACUGGCAGGUUGGACGAGUUCUCUGGACUAUUCCGGGAUAUGGAGAUUAGCCCUGACUGAGGCCUUCACCCUAGAUGUCCUUUGGCCAAACUGUCCUUGGCACAGGGGUGAAGGGACCCUUGUCAGCUUGCUGGGCCUGACUAGUUUCCCACAGUGAAUUUACUGUAAAGGACCAUGCAUUCUCACCGAUGCUGUCUGUUCUGCGAAGGUUCCACGUGUGCCUUUACCGAUGUUUCUGGCUUUGACCAGAAAGUUCAACUCGUUCAUCUACUCACUUCUGCACCUCGCUUCUGAUGAAAGCUGUUCUCGCCCGGGUCACUGGGUUGAGCGUCAGUGAUUUUCCCACCCAGCUUUUCCUCUGUGUGUUGGUAAAAAGAUCCUCUGUUUCCGGCCUUGAGAUGCUUGGGAGAAAUACUAGCAUCAUUAGUGCAGGAACUCCUGGGGAGUGGAGGUUAGGGAACUGUGCUCUGUUCUGCCUACUGAUAUCUAGUCAAAAUUAUUUAGAUCGGCUGGUAGAUACCUAAGAAUAGGAAAUGUGAGUUUCUCUGGGUAAGCCUAAACACCUUGCCUGCAAGUGUGGCCAUAGACACGGCUGUCAACUGUCUGACGUAGCCAGUGAGACUAGAGUAGAUCGCCCCACUCCUUUUUGCCAGCUGGUUUUGGAGACCGGAAUUUUUAUGUAUACAUAAAAAGAGAAGUUCUUGUUAUAUUUAAUGAUUAACGGACUGAACAUGCAAAGUGUUGUCCUGUGUCCUAGUGCUAAGUAAAUAUUUAGAAUUUGUCUGGUGAGCUAGGACAUGGGCACUACAGAGAUAGACAAGGCAUCAUUUGCAACCCCAAAGGCCCUCACAGUCUGACAAGGGAGAGAUGACAAGGAAAAGGUUCUCACAACUGUCAGGAACCAUCGAUGGAAACAGAUGCAGAGACCCACAGCCAAACAUUAGAUGGAGCUUGGGGAGUCUUGCGGAAGAGCUGGGAAAAGGAUUGUGGGAAUCUGAAGGGAAUAGAGACCAACAGAGUCAACUAACCUGGACCCGUGAGGGCUCUCAGAGAUUAAACCACCAACUAAAGAGCGUCUAUGGGCUUGACCUUGUUCCCUACACAUUUGUAUCAGAGGUGCAGCUUGGUCUUCAUGGGGGUCUCCAACAACUGGAGUGGGAACUGUCCCUGAAUCUGUUGCCUGCCUGUAGAUCCCAUUCCUCUAACUGUCCUCUUGCUUGACCUCAGUGGGUGAGGGUCCGCAUAAUCGUGCAGAGACUUGAUAUGCUAGGGUGAGGUGAUGGAUGCUCAGUAGAGGCCUCUUCCUUCUCAGAAGAGAAGGGGAGGGAGCUGUUGGGGGAGGGAGGCAAGAGGAGGGAAGGGGUGUGGUUGGGAUGUAAAGUGAAUAAAUAAAUUAGUGAAACAAAAGACUGUCGGGAAAUUGAAGGCAAAGUUUCACUUGCCUUGUGGGAAUGUUCUCUGGGUGGCAGAGGACAGAGGGGACUAGGCACGGCUAACUACCUUCUUAGGCAGUUCCAGUGACAAAUCAAAGUUCCCUUCCACUGGAUUCACCCUGGGUGACCAAUGAGUUCACUGGGGUUGCUGACAGAGUAUGGAUGAGGGGUUACAAAGAGUCUAUGUCAUACCAGAAUAGGCACACUGGGGGUUUGCACCCAGAAUGGAUGAUGGCUUCCCCAUGGCACAUACAAGAGGCCUUCUCCAUAGACCUUCCAACUUAUGUAUACGUCCAACCAUUCCAUGAGGCUGCAUGUAAUUAGGAUUGAAUUACAUAUAACUGGUUGAGAAGAGUAGAAAGGUCCCAUGACCAUCCUUCUAUAAGAGAAUGUCAAUGUCAACAAGCAGACUUGUGACAAUCUUCUGCAAGUAGGUACAGUUUGUACUCAUGAAGGUGAUGGCAGGUCGAGUCAGAGGACAGUUCUGUAAUUUGAGAAGAUAAUUUAUUAUUCGGGUUGGAAGAGCACUUUUAUAACCACAUCUAAUAUAGGGAGAUGAGUCCUUUCUUCUAACUUUCCUCACUCAGGAGGGCCAGCAUUAAGGAGAUUUGAAUGAAACAUAUUUGUUCUGGGUAGGACUUUAGCAAAGGGAACACCCUCCCCCAAAAUGGUCAAAAUAAAUUGUAUCAUAAUAUAACAUCUAAAAAGAAAGAAUGAGGAAAAUUUAUGAUAAACAAAUAUGGAAAUUUUAAAUAAGGAGAACAUUAGACCCUGCAUACAUAUGUCCUUGUUUUACCCUGUUCUUCACUCUGACUCCAAUGAAACUUUAUAAAAUUUGUCAAUUUGAUUCUUUUUAAAAAAAAAGCACUAACUAAUAGGUUAGACAAUGGAAUAUAUGACAGAAUUCUGGUUUUAGAGGGAAGUUUGUCAAGAGAAUAAGGUGGGGGUUCCAAGAGGAUGAGGUGACUGUAAUUCUUUCUUCAUGGUGGAGAAAAAGGAGAUACUUGUAAUAAUGUGUUUUCAAGUGGUUUCUUAUUCUACAACUGCAGCUCACCUCCCUUCACCCGGUAUAACCUUCGGGUCUGCUUCAUAGUUUAUGUCUUGAAUUCAUGAUGAUUUGAGAGAAAGGAAGGAAGAAGGUGAUGAUGGAAUAGAAGGACGUGGGCUGGUGAGAGGGGAUGAAAAUGUAGGAGGUAGGCAGGAGGCAGUGGGAAGAGGCCCAGGAGAAGCCUUACCCACCCACACUCUGGAGAGAAGGUGGGGAUGGGCAGGGGGGGACUUUCUGCUGGCCUUCACAGUGUUAAAGGAAAAGAGAGGUCCUUGGACAAUGGAUACUGGGUGGUGCCUGGCAGGCAAGUCAUGGUAUGAUAUAAUGCUUUGGUUUGCCCGUUAGGCCUGCUUACUCCUUCCCCCUUACCGUCUUACCCGAAGGUGGACCUGAGUAGAGCAUAUCAAAGGCUCUUUGCCCCUGGAUUCCAGAUGGACUGGAAGAAGAAAACAAAGUGGCUAGGGGCUCCCGCAGAUCCUUCCUGAGCAUUUGUUUAAGGGGACUAUGCUCUUCUCCUAAGGGCUGCAGUUCCUGGUCAACAUCCUCUUCCAUUCCCAAGGACUCCUGGGAAUCACUUCCUCUCACUUUUCCAGACUAGAAGUGACUGCUCACUCUUCAUUGCUCUGACUGUCUGUCUUUUGUGGUUUCUAUGUUGAACUCUCUUCAAUGUGAGGAUGCUAUCUGUCUCUCACAGAGACUCCGAUUUUGAUAUAGACACAUGAACUGCAACAGCCUUAUUUAGAACACUGGAAGCUGGAGGUGGAGGAACCAACCAGCUGCCUGAUGGGAAAGGAGUACAGGUGGUUACUAAUGCAGGACUCCAUCAUGGGUGGGUGAUGUUUGAGUGACACUAUGGGAUGAGACCUUUCCUUCAGAUGAAGGUGAGCCCCACUCUCCCAUCUUUCCGGCUAGCGUCCAUCUAUAAAAACAGGUGCCACCCGGUCACAGGAGGUGGCUAUGACCCAGUGGUCUUAAGAGGCACAGAAAGCACAGACAAGGACGUCAUCCAAUUGUAAUUUCUGCUGCUCAUCUGUCCCGCUUUCCUGGAUUCCUUGCAGCUAUGAAUGGCCUUGGGUUACGAUUUUCUUUAACAUCAUGGAAGUAAUCUCCUCCACGACUGAAAGAAUUUUAAAAUAUCUAUUUGGAGGCAGAAUAGCCUUAAAAAACAACAGGCUGGGGAUGUGACUUAAGUGGCACUGUGCUUGCUGUACUGGCUGUCAACUUGGCACAAGCUAGAGUCAUCUGAGGAGGGAACCUUGGUUGAGAAAAUGCCUCCGUAAGAUCAAGCUAUAUGGAAGCUUGCAGAGCAUUAUCUUAAUUAGUGACUACUAGGGGAGGGCUUAGCCUUUUGUGGGUGGUGUCAUCCCAGGGCUGGUGGUCCUGGAUUUUUUAUGAAAGCAGGCUGAGCAGGCUGUAGGAGCAAGCCGGUAAGCAGCACUCCUACCAUGGCCUCUGCUUCGGCUCCUGCUUCCAGGUUCCUGCCUUGUUUGAGCUCUUGUCCUGAGUUCCUCCAAUGAUGAAGAAGGAUAUGGAAAUAUAAGUUGAACCCUUACAUCCCCAAAUUGCUUUUGGUCAUGGUAUUUUUAUGACAGCAAUAGAAGCCCUAACUAAUAGACUCGCCUGGCAUGCAUGAAGCCACAGGGUCUAUCUCUAGCGUAGUCUGUAUAAACCAGCCAAGGUGGCACACAACUCCCAUCCCAGUACUUGGAGGGUAGAGGCAGAACGAUCAGAAGUUCCAGGUCAUCCACAGCCACAAAGCAAGUUCAAGGCUGGGCUACAUGAAACCCUACCUCAGAACACAAAGGACGGAAUGCCACCAUAUCAUAAAGGUAAAGUGUGAUUCUUUUUUAAAAAAAUAUUCCAGUAAUUUUGUACAUUUAUCCUAUUAAUUUGUUUUUGCCUGCCCCAAAUUUUAAGUCACUGCCGAAGUACCAGACUAUAGGCAUAACAGUGUUUCAGGAUGGUUGAGUUAGUAUAGGCAUUAUUAUUGUUACUAUUAUUAUAUCUGUUACCAUCCCUCUUUUUCCCUUCCUCUUUCCCCCCUCUUUUUCUUUCUCCUCCCUCCCCAUCCUCCUUCCUCUUGAAGACUGAGUUUUCCUUUAGUGGAAGAAGACAAAGACAGUACCAAGGAGUCCGCUUGGAGCACAGAUACUCUGCCUUGGACAGGAAGAGUCCUGAGGCCCAGCAGUAGCAGCAGUGGUGCCCAGCUCCUCUCUAACCUCCUAGUGGAAGCGCUGCUUAUAAUGUACCUUCUUUUUGUGGUGCUCUAUACCAAGACAGGAACAGAGCAUGCAUGAAGAAAGGAAGGCUGCGAACAUGGCCAACAGGGACAGAACUGAUAAGAUGAACCAGGAGGGACUGGAGGCAGGGGAUGGUCGCUGGCCACCUCACAGGAAGAACAUCCAAUAGCUGAGCCUCUGAAAUAUUGACAGGGUCACCAGACUUCCUACAGCUCAAAUGAUUACACUUACAUAUCAAAGGAAAAGGCAGCUCUGAAGCCUGGGAAAACACCUUAUAGGAAGAAACAAAGGAAGAGAUGGAUGGAAGGGUUAGUGGUACUGUGUGGGGAAGUGAUGAGGUUACAGGUGGAUUAUGCAGGUAAUAUAGUACCAGACUGGCUCCUGGAAAUGAGGGAUGAGAUUGUGUUAUGGUUAGAACCGGGGCUUGGAAAGAGGGAGAGAGGGUAACUCUUUCUCAAAGGCUUCUCAUGGUUUUGUGGGUGGUGGUUUGGUUUUAGUUGUUUGUGUUUUUGUGUUUUUGUUUGUCUGUUUUUGAGUCAGGGUCUCUUUCCGGGGACUGAGCAAAUCCUCCUACUUCAGCCACUGAUUACUGGGACCACAGACUUGGGUCACCUUGCCCAGCUUACAAAGUACGAUCUUGUAAGACUGAAAUGUGGCAAGGUGUACUGACCCUGUGUGUUAUUUGUAAUAGGAUCUUAUAGGCAACGGAUCAACACUGCGUUGGGCUUGAACUCCAAACGUAAUAUGAUUCCGUGAGUUUCCCCUUGCUUUAGUUUAUCCCAUAAUUAUAAUAGUUUAAAGUCUAAAUUUAGCGUUCAUAACCGCCUUUGUCUCUCUCUUUCUGUCUCUCUCUCUCUGUCGUCUUUUUCUCUGUGUAUGUGUGUGAUUGUGUGGGCGUGCGAGCAUUCGAGCAUGUGUUCGUGACAUUAAGUGACAUUUCCCCCGCCAUUAAACUCCAAAGAAGCAACUUAUUUAUAUUCAUGUUAUUAUUCAAUCCAUUUUUCAGCUGACACUCAGCCUCUGUUAGUCAGGAAGCUGGGGAAUGGCUGAGGCUAAACAUCUGAUGGAGAUGCAGUCGUCCUUUCACAUGACUUUGCCAAAUGGGAUCUUUGUAUUGUAAACCAGACAUUUUCCACCCGGAGAGCUGCCUUGACUUCACAUUCAGAUCUGCUGAAUAAAAGGCUCACAAGUUUUCUGUGAACCUAGUAUCACAUGAUGAGCACACGGGAGCAGGGAGCAAGACAAUGGUGAUGAGAUCCCUGUUAGCUUCUGCACAGCUUCUUCUUUUCCUGCAAGAAGAGGGCUUACUAUCUCUGCAGAAAACUUUGGGGGAAAAUAACACUGGUUUUGGUGUAGCUUUGAGGCCUCCCAUUGGUUGGAAAAGCUUUGGUAUAAGAAUCUGUCGUAGGGGGGUUGGGGAUUUAGCUCAGUGGUAGGGUGCUUGCCUAGCAAGCGCAAGGCCCCGUUUGGUCCCCAGCUCUGAAAAAAGAAAAGAAAAGAAAAAAAAAAAGAAUCUGUCGUAGGAAGGGACACAUGGAAUUUGGGAAGGUUACUUUAACAACCACAAUAAUAAUAAUCAAUAGACUUCUUUAAAACUUGAAAGAUGAGUGUCUAGUGCAUUAGAGAAGUUGAAAAGCUGUAGCCUCUGCACCCAUGGGAUUCUACGUUGCAUCGAGUCAGGGACAACACUGAGUGAGUCAUCCUCCCAUCCAAAGGUCACAAUGCAAAAUGUCAAACAACACCCAUGGCCAGUCAUAGGUGCUUCCUAUGGGCUCCGUUCCUCGGUGGGAAAACCGGAUGGAGCUCUCCAGUGUUACUUUGUAUUGCAUGGUUGGAGGUUUGCACAUGACACGGCGGUGUGACUGGUUUUCUUUCUCAGUUUUGCCUCCACUCUUUUGAACAGUUUGAAUGAAACCCAGAAGAUGUGCAUGGUUGAGCAUCUGUGGGUUAUGUGCAUUGGAGAGAGUCCCUGAGUCCUAUCAAUGUACCCCAAAGAGCACCCCCAGGUUAGACUGACAGGCUAGCAAGAGACUAGAUUUCAAAGAAAAAUGAAAAUUAGGCAUUAGGUUUUAAGAACAGCAGCUGACCGGCUUACCAGAAGUUCACGUGGACAGACUCAUGAGUUUUAUCACUACGGGAGCUCAGGGUCACAUGACGAGAUGAAGUCUUAGGGUGCAUCAGAGCAAGGAGAAUCCUUCUAUCAGGGACAGCCAGGGCGUGUGUGUUUUAACCUGAUCUCGCCUUGGCUGAGUUCCAUACAGUUGGAAUGGCCCACGAUAAACAACUCGGUUUUGAAAUAGCCAGGUGAUAGGAGGCCAAUUUGUAACCAUAUCAUCUGUGAAGCUAUGGGAGGAAAAAAUGGAAGGACUCAUAAUCUGGCACUAAAUGAAAAGGUUCAGAAGGAGGCAGGAAUGAUUUUCAUGUGGAAAUUGUUUUAUCUGAAAGGUUGAAUGUUUAAUGGAACUUAAUGAAGUUUGUCUGGCAUUUGGGCAGGCUAGGGCCUCGUGUGAUCUCUAAUGAGUAAGAGCUGUUCAAAAGUGGCAGGGACAAUGGUCAGGACUGACUAUGCCCAGAACCCCGAAGUCAGGCAGUGGAGGGAAGAAGAACAUGAAGAACAUGAAUUCAAGGGUAACCUGGGCUACAUAGCAACACCUUGUCUCAAACAUAAACGGACAAACAAAACGACUAGGCUAGCUGCAAAGAGCACCUUGGAUCCUUUAGAGCAGGUCAGGCACUGCUUUCUGUUAGGGAAGAUGAUAAGGUUUAAAUCAGGAUCCCACAGGCUCGAGAGGGAUGGGUCCCCAGCCUUGCCAUGCUAUUUUGAAGGCUGUAGAACCUUUAGAAAGUGGAGCUCACAUGGUCUCUAAAGACCUCAUAAAGUGAAUGAAGACCUUAAAGACGGAGGCACUGAUGUGGCAUACAGGCUGAGGUCCAGGUAGUCCAACAGUGGCUGUCUCUGGAAAGAAAGGUCAAGAAUCCAGUAGUUAUUCAGUCCCAAUCUGGUGCCAAUGUCCCAGAGGACUCCCAGAAAGAUGCAGGACUUCAGAGUGUAUUGUAAUCCAGAAGAAAUAGGCUAGAAUAUCAGUGAGCUAAUGACUCAGCAGUAGAGUAGAUGAACUUGCCAGCAAGAGUGAGGGUAAGCAGGCAAAAAGCAAAAGCUUCCUUCUUCCCUGUCCUUGUAUUCCCUGCUAAUAGGAGAUGUGUCAGAGAUUUAGGGUGGGCCUUCCCACCUCAAACAAUUUUUAAAAAAUCCCUUACAGCCACGCUCAGCUGCUUGGGUUUUCAUUUGAAUUCUAUAUCUAGGAAUUCUAUAUCUAUUCUAUAUCUAUAUUCUGCCAGGUUGACAACCAAAAUUAGCCACCAUGCCAGCUGUGAUGGACUGGGAUUCUCUAAAACUAAAAUAAAUACCCCUUUCUGUGUCAUAAAUUGUUUCUGUCUGCUAGGUAUUCUUUUUAUUUUAUUUUCUGAGAUCGUAAUUAAAUUACGAUCUUCUCCCCCCCCCCCCCCCCAGGCUCCCUCCUUGGUCUCCUUCAAAGUCAUGGCCUCUUUUUUCCACUAAUCGUCACUAUAUAUGUACAGUUGUGUAUUGUAUAUGUAUAUGCAUAUAUAUUCCUAAAUGUAGCCAGUUUAGCCUGUAUAACACUGCCUAUUCCCAGCUUUCCACAGUUCUUUGUGUAGGGUUGAAGACUUCUAGGCUUUUCCUUGUCCAAUUUAACAUGUUUGGUGUUAUCUUGGGACCGUUUACAUUUGGGUAGUCAUGUUGAUGAGACUUUAAGCACAUAGCUUCUGAUUUAUAACAAUGCCCAAUAGCUAACUAAUAGAGGCAUGUAGCUGCACCAUUUCCCUCUCCAAACUCUGUCUGCUGUGAAGCACACGGUUUGUCUCUGGAGGAGUGUAGGAUUGAUGGUCCUGCAUUUGCUCUGCUGCAAGGCAUGGCGACUGCUCGGGGAGGCAGAAUGUGGGGAGUUUGGCAGCACUUGUCCCACACUGUGCCGGGCAGGUGCUGGGCCACAGGGAAGCAUCGAGCCACUGCUUGGGGUGGGAGAGCACAGACUAAGGCAUGGGACAGUCAGAGCUGGCUCUGGGGUCCCCAGGCCUGCGAAGUUCCCAGGCUCUUGAACACUCAGGUGCCAUUCGAGGAAGAGCUAAGAACUAAGAAUGGAAUCUGGGCCUGAGGGCAGAUCUAGCCUCAGAUCUGCAGGCUUGGGCUUGGUGGCUGUCAUGGCUGGGAGAGUGCAGAGAGGCCUUCUAGGAGAGAUUAGACAGCGGCUCUGUAGACAAAGACCUUCUCCAUGGCUUCCCACGGCGGAUUCCGAUAAAAAGAGACAGUCUAUAGUUCCAAAUCAUUUAUUUCCUUGGUGGAAAGUGGAUGUUUAAAACCACACCCCACUUCUCAGGGUGGGCCUGUGAUUAAAUACCUUGGGAUGUCUGGGAAGGAAAGCUUAUUGGCUAAACCCUGCAGGCCUCUAAGUACCUCAUUAGAAUGGCGAUCUCUGUCUUGAGCCUAUGUGACCACAGACCACAUCCUUUUCCUGUUGUCUUUGUCUGAGAUAUUAGGGAUGCCUAAUCUAUAUGUGGGGGGCUUAAGAUGUUGGUUGUCCUUAUGUAACUGAUUGCCACAGAUCUUUGGGGGGCUGUGACUAGUGACAGGGGCUUGGUACCUGGAAGCAGUUGAAGUUCCUACAGUCUCUUCAGGGUUUCUGGGAUUGAGGACCAGGCUACCUCUCACGGUCCACCAUCCCACAGAGAACCCCUUUCCUUCAUUGUACCACCCACGAGAAUAAACACAUGAAUACUAAUGACUCCACAUCUGGAGUUCCGCGCUGUUAUGCUUCAAUAAUUAUCUUUUACCAAUAAAUGUGUAUGUGUGUACAUGUGUGUGUACAUAGGUGUAUAUAUACACUAGUGUGUGUGCACAUGGCCAGUGUGUGUUUGGUUUGUACUCAUGUGUGUGUGUGUGUGUGUGUGUGUGUGUGUGCGUGUGCAUGUGGACAGAGUUGAUGUCUGGGGUCUUCCUCAGUCACUUUCCCCCCCUCUUCCUUACUUCUUGAGACAAAGUCUCUCUCUGAACCUGGAACUCACCAGGCUAUUUAGCCCAGUGAACUGCUGAGAUCGGCUUGUCUCCACCUCCCCAGUGCUGGGAUUGGAGGCAUGUGCUGUCACUCAGACUGGAUGUAGCCACUGGGGGUGAAGGGCAGGCCCACAUUUAUGGCAAGCACACUGUUAACUGAGCCACCUUCGAUGUCCUCAGCCCUACAGGUAGACGCACUUUUAUCUCUCUCGACUGUACUGUCUCUCAUGGAUUCCAUCUGCAACAAGGUCUUAAGGAAAGACAGAGGCAGGGGAUUAGCUUGCAUCUUUCGAAUGAAAACACACACGAAAAAAAAAUCUUUGUAUGCCAUGGAAGCCAAAAGUCAGGGAUGGUUCGUGCUCACCUGCGUCUACACUGGAAACUGCUUUGGUCUGGUUCUUGUGGGUGACAAGGAAUUAUCUUUACAGAGCACAGGAGAAAUGGUACAACCCUGCCUGUUGUUCUUCUGGGUAAGUGGGCACGCGGGCCCUUUCUGGUUCCAUUUUAUUUCAGCAGGAGAAGCAGAAAAUAAAGAUGAAUAUUUGGCCAUGGAUGUCUAGCUGUGACCUCAGCGUUUGAGAAAGAUUAAUCCCUCCUCUCUCUUGACUCAGCUAUCGAGAAGGGCCGCACGCGGUGUGUCUGAGCUGGGAGAAGACAGGAAACCGAAUGCUCUUAGGAUGAAGAGUGGCUACUUCAGGAGAUGGAGGAAAAAGCCCGGAAUGAAGGAGGACUGUUUUCCCCCUCUCAUCUAGCGGGCCCCUGGAGACCCCUUUCAGAAUCCGGCAGCCCUCCCAUUCGUGUCUUUGCAAGGAUGUGCAGGGCCCCGAGGAGUUCCUGAGGAAUCCUGCAGCUGUUGGGGCCUCGGAGGAGAUGGGCAAUGUGUCUCCCAGUCCUUGUUAAUCCCACAAACGGCCCAUUGAGGGGAGUGGGAGAAGGGAGAGGCAACCAGGAUUGCCCCUGAGGUCCCUCAAUGGGGGUACUGUUCAGGCUUGGGUGGAGGCCAGCCCUGACCCCAUGCUGGUUGUUAGGGCUUCAUUCUUCCCUAGGAGGUGGCUGGAAAGGCAGUGAGCAGCUGAGGCUCAAGGGAAGGGACUGCUCUUGUUCCUCACAGGCGCUGCUGACAAACGAGGGGAAGCACUUCCUCUUUAAUUGUCUCUAUUGUUCAUUACAUUUACAUCCCGGCAUCAGCCCCCUUCCUUCUCAUUCUUCUCUGCCACUCAAGAUCUCUAAGUCAUGGGUUUUCCCUUUCUCUCUCCAAUCCUUCACCAGACAAGAAACAAAUAUCAUUUUCUCUUCCCUUCUGUACCAAUUCCCUUAGGCAGCUGGCUUAUGGAGCAAGUGGGAAUGGCUGCAGGUUUGCUGUUGGGCUACCAUAGUGCCUGCUACGUACACAUCUGUCAGUCAUUCUGACUGCCCAGCACCCACCCACCUUCCUCUUUCUUUUUUUUUUUCUUUUUCUUUUUUUUCAGAGCUGGGGACCGAACCCAGGGCCUUACGCUUGCUAGGCAAGCGCUUUACCACUGAGCUAAAUCCCCAACCCCUCACCUUCCUCUUUCUGCUCUAUUACCUUGAUUUUCUUUCAUUCUAACACAGCUAGCCAGUGGGCUUUGGUGGCAUAGACCGGCCUCUGGGUUUGGGAGUAGACACAGCAUGUGUUAAUAGAAGGUGGACGAUUUCUUCUUUGGGAUUUGUGUAGUGGAUAGGUGGGACCACACUGGGCUGAGUCGUUAAAAUCUGGAAAGAGUGUGCUGGCUGUAUUGAGAGGGAGACUAUGUCUACUGUGGCUGCCAAGUGGGUACAGUCUCGCCGGGGAGCGGUGUUAUCACCUUUGCUACCACUGGAGACAAGCCAUGGUGAGAACAGAGGCUUGGCAACUGCCCCUUCUCAUUUUAGAAAAGGGAGCAUCAGCUGAGGAAAUACCAGAUUGGCUUGUGGACAAGCCUGUGACGCAUUAUCUUAACCAGCGAUUGAUGUGGGAAGGAACUGAUGUUUGCUAUGGGAGGUGCCAUGCCUGGGCUGGUGGUCCUGGGUACUAUAAGAAGGCAGUCUGAGCAAGCCAUGGAGAGCAAGCCAGUAAGCAGCACCCCUCCAUGGCCUCUGCACCAGCUCCUGCCAUGACUUCCUUCACUGAUACACUGUUUCCCAAACUCUUGGCCUUUCUCAGGCGCGAGUGACUUAGCAGAUUACAAGCCUACACUACCACACUCAGCUAAAACUGGAUUACUAUUGACCAUACUGGAAACUAGUCUCUCUGAGUGAAGGUUGAGACAGUAAUUAUAUUGUUUCCUGCUUCCAACUCCCCAUUCAGGCUCCCCUUGUUAGAUAAUUUGCAGUACCAGAGAGAAGAUUCACUGAUAACCAUCCAAAAUCUCAGUCUUGAUGAAAAGAAGGUUCAUCUAUUUGGUGCCUCUCUACUAGGCCCCUUCUGUGUCUCCCAGGGUCUGUGAUCAGAGGCCCAGCCUCACCCAUCCAUUCAGCAGUCACUUAUGUACCGACUGCAUGGCAUGAAAUGGUCCUGUGCAGCUUCCCAGCAAGCCUUGGAGAAGUCUGACAGGCAACAUAAUAAAAACAACCUCUUCUGCUAUUGGAACACCCACUGAGGAAGGGAUUAGUCAGUGGGUUGGAGAAAGGCCGUGCAAAGGACAGGAGCCUUGACUGUGCAUUCAAGGAGGCUCUCAGGGGAAAAAGCUCAGCCCUACGUCUUAAUACACGUCCCAUGCUCUCUAGUGCACAGGAGUCUGUGGCCCUAGCUACCCACUCCUUUCUCUGUUUUUAAAACUUUCAAGAGAAUGUGUAAAGUCCUCUUGCUGGUAACCAUGGCUGCACAAGUGCUGGAGACAACCAGUGGAGAGAAACAGCUUCGCAUAGCCAGUCCGCAGCCCAGGUAAGGGUACCAAUCCCAGUAGCUUCUCUAUUUCUGUUUACCGCUUCAACGGUGUGUAAGCACUCCACCCAUAUACUAAGUCUUUUGCAUACAACGUACAUAAAAGUAUACAAAAUACUUUUGAUUUCAAUGCUCAGAGUAGGUUCUGUUACCUAUACUACAGUGGCUACAAUGUUUAUUCAUUCAUUCUGAGGUAUGGUCUCCCUGUAUAGCCCAGGCUAUAUUGAAACACACAAUAGAAUUUAUUGCCUCAGCUUCCCCUGUGCUGGGAUCAUAGGUGCAGACUGUCACACCUAGCUGUAAUUACUGUUUUUAAAUUUUCUGAUAAUUUGCUGUCUUAAAAUAUUUGCUUUUCGGGGAGAAACUGCCUUCCCCAAGACUAGUGAAUUCUUAGAAGUAGCUCAUCUGCCAUAUGUAAACUAACAGACUCAGCACAAUGAUACCCUUGCCCCAACCCAACCCCUUUAACACAUGACACCAGUGUUCAUCCAACCAUGAACGAUGUGGUCCUGUGUCAUAUGUGUCCUCGUCACGUGACACGUCUUCACAGGGGAUGUAUUAAAAUUGUUCUUUCUGUGUUGCUGGCUUCCCAGUGUCAUUACUCAAACAACUGUGCAAGUUAAAAUCUCCUGUUGCAAGAGUGGAGGAGGAGGAUUGGGGUAAGUGUUAAGGCCUUCUCAGUCUUGUCCCUUAUCUUGUCUCUUGUCCCAAGUACAAUGUUGUGGAGUAGUAGAUCUCAGUAAACUUUUUUUGGGUCAGCACUUAAAAGUGAAGGCAAAAGGUCUUGGCAUGAUGUUUUUGAGUUUUGCCAAACCCCAACAUUGCGCUUGGAACCCUCCUCUCCCCAUCAGACCUCAAGAAUUACCCUGUCCUCUUUCCAUAGCCACAUCAAACGUAUUUCUUAAUCUUCUGGGAAGCCAUACACUCGGCAGGCAGAUCUCUGAUCCUGCUUCAGCAAAAGCAGGGCGUGGUCCGAAUUCAAUCAGGAGAAUUCUCCACGGAGUUUGUCCAGAGUAUUGGCUGACAGCCUAUUCCUCCUGAGCUCCUGCAGUGGGUGAAAGGUUUGGUAGACAAACAUUCUACCAUUAUUCGUGGGCGACAAGGACAUUGAUGUUACUGAGAAGGUCUUGACCCGCCCCAAGCAGAUGAGCACUAUCAGAAGGACACCUGUGACCAUGUGUCUCUUCACACGGAACCCAGCCCCGACAAGGCCAUCUCUGAGUUCAAGGUUUAGCAAUAAACUAAUUUAUUAUUAGCUUUAAAACAUUUUAUGACAAGAAGCUCGUGGAAUUGUGUGAAGUAAAUAAACCACAUUUUACUAUCCCCUGUAGUUCUGACAUCAAGAUUGACUGUCAAUCAAAUUAAUCAGUUGUAGCCCAAAUAGAAGAGAGACAGCAAAAUGUCUACAGAGCUUUGUAAAACUUCAGACUGUCCUCAUACCAUAUUCACGGGCAAAGACGGAGGAAGGACACAGGCCAAAACUCUGUGGCUUCUGUUGUCUUGAAAGAGGGGAGUUGUCUUUGUCUUAGAGGAGUGGCAGAGAAUACUACUACCUUAGGUUCCUUACUUGUUAUCUAGUUGAUAUGAGUCCUUGUUUCUUAUUUAGACAAGGAUAAGUUUGGUCACUGGGGAGAUUUCUAAUUUUAGGAGUGAGGUAUGAGAAGCCAUGGCUGUCACGUUUGCUAUGCCGAGAUCUCAUUGCUUUGCAGCCUAACCUAACCCUCCAUUGAGCAAGUUGAUUAAACACCUUAAUCUUUCUAAGCUCCAGGUUCCUCAUCCAUAAAGUUCUUAGGGACUUGAGAAGGUUAAUAGAAGUUCCUUGUAUAUUGUUUAGUUCCAACCUUGUAGACCUUCCGGAAGCAUUAGUCACACUUACUGCUGUAAUUAAGUUAUGUGAGUCCAUCACUUUAAAUGAUUGCAGAUAGAUGAAUGGAUGAGCCAAAUUAGACUAUCGAUGACAAACCCUGAAUAUCCAUCUCUGGCUUGGUAUGUAACUGUAGUCACCUGUGUAUGUCUGGGAGAGGGGAAGAUAUUGGACUUGGCAUCAUAACAGGUCACAUGAUAGGAUAUUAGAUGGGACAUAAUUGACCAUAGGUUCUAGGACUCACCUAAAUGAAAAAGCCAUUUGAGGCUAUACAAGUCUAUAGGGUUCACAAUGGAAGACAGGGUACCAGGCUUUGAGAAUAGUGAUAAAGUAGAGGAUACAGGGUGGUUAAACUUUUGUGGAUGGAGAGAUAGAUUUACAGUAUUGGGAAGAGAACAACUGAUUCAAACCUGCAGCAGUUUGAGGGUUGUUGGAAGAAAGUGGCUAAGGCUAGCAGAUGGAAGUUAUGGAUAGGUAUUUUUAUCUGUCUUUGCAAAUGGGUGGCAGAGACUUCUAGAAAUGGGUAGUGGGAUGUGCUGCCACUCAGGAUUUCUAGAACUGUUUAGUUUGUCUGGGAUGUUUUCCAGGAAUGCUGAACAAAGGUCUCACCCAGGAGCACAGGGAAGAGACUUGUUUUACAGCCGCGUGGGUGGGGUUGAUGGUCACAAUAGGAAAAUUUUCCUUGGAGACAAAGUCUCCAAGACAGAGUGGACAUUAGGCAAGGUCCAGAGCUGGAUACAGAACGGACCUUCAGUAACUAUUAGUCACCGUUUAUUAUGAUGAUUAUAAGCCUGAGGUUUCAAAAGUUUAUGGACAAGUGGACUGACUGCUGAGUUACACUGACUGCAUGGGAGACCAGAAAUCUUGAAACAUUUUCUGGGCUUUACACUGACUUGAUGUGUAACUUCAGUUACUUCUAUAAGUCUGGGAGUGGGGAGAGAUGGGAAAAGUUUUGGGGACUGGGUAUGGAUAACACACACAGGGAUAGGGAGACCAGGGCCAGUGCUGAUAACUGGAAAUAACUUUCUAGAGUGUAGUGCACUGUGAAAGGAGAUCAAUGAGAAGAGACCAGAGAGCUUUCUUUUAUUUUUUAUCUUGAAAUAGGACCAUAUUCUGGGAACUGUGGGAAGGUAUAGAAGGAUGUUAAACAAGGGAGUAACAUGGCCAGAGAAUGGUGUGGAAAGAUCACUCUCAUUGACUCAAGGCCCACAGAGAGGAAGCAGGGAGCCAGUAUUUGUUGAUAACCUGCCGUGACCUGGAAACUCCACAUGAAUGAUAGCAUACCAUACUGUCAGCCAUUGAUUGGGUGGAUGCUUGCCUAUAUUUUAUAAAUGGACAAAGAACACCAGAGGCUAAGACUUUUUCAACAUUCCCUAGUUAUUAAGCAAUGGAUUAAUACUAAAAUACUACUGGGUCUGAUCCCCAGGUCUGGGAUUGUUUAAGUCCAAUGAAAGCAAAACUUCGUAUAGUUUAGAAAUAUGCAAAGUUGAAUCUUCAGAAUGAUUAGUGGAUGCUUAAGUCUUGUCCCUAUCGCACUGAGGCAUGCCAAGCCAUAGACUUUCCUCUUGGGUGACCCACUGCUUUCAAGUCCUCCUCCCUAAAGCCAUCAGGCCACGGACCACCUAACACUCUUUUCUAGAAUUUGAGGUUGGUGCUUUUGUUUGGUUUCUGUCGGUGGUUUGUGCUUUUGAGUAGCUGGACACUUGGGUGUUGGCUUCCCACUAUGCAGGUGGAGAAGCUGGGAGACAGCUGCAGAGACAGAGGGCUGUAGAGAGGAGUGAGAAGGGUGUUUUAGUCAGGGCUCUCUAGUUUUCUUAAUGUGUCUGACGUUUCCCCUUCAGUGUAGAAUAGCUAGAGUUAGUCUCUGUUGCUUGGGAAGAAGGUAGUGAGGGACUGAGGGAGAUAGGCAGAGGGGAAACAUGGGCAGAAAAUGAUGACUAGCAGGAUUUGGGGGGCAGGGGGGUCCCUUAUGUUUUCUCAAUAUCCCAGUACUACCAAGUGUAAAAGUAAGGGCUUUUCUGAAUAAUGACACAGAGACCUUUAUAUUUAUUAAAAGCUUCAGGCACUAUACCUGGGUAGAAACUAGGCUAUUCUAACCUGACAAUGCUGACCUGGCCCCCUUCCCAGCCACAUGACCCGUUACCUGCCAUGUCCAAGUUGUCCUUACCGAGACUCUCAGCAUCAGUUAACAGUAGCCUUUUUCUCAUUUUGCUCAGCAGUGUGGCAUCUGAAUGAGGAGGUAGGUAUGGGAACGUGGAUUUAGUGAGGAGGAAGCUGCAAGUCUAGGAUGGCUACUGACACGGUGGCCCAUCUCUCCUUUCUCUCUCCAUUUCUCUUAACUCUUAUAUGGACCAAGAAAAAAAAUUACAUCUGAUAGAAGCCUCUCUUCCUUUGACCUAGAGCCAUGUUGAGGACUGGUGACUUUGGGGUCUCUAUUGAAUGGAAGCUGAUGAGUAUUGGAAACAGAGAUUGGAUGAUGAUGCCUCUUCCUUGCCCCACACUUUUUCUCCAUGACCAUUCCCUUUGGAAUGCCUAGGAGAGGCUUCACAUCUUAGUGAUAUAGGGCCAUGAAAGUGAGCCAUGUACAGUCCUGGUAAAUCCUGUGCUCGAGUCUUUUCCUUUCUUGUUCACACCUCUGUAGCAUCUCUGUCUGGGUGUCACUCAGGUGAUUUGCUUCUUGUUCCUAAAGAUCUGAGCCUCGGGUGCUUUGCAACUUAGGCUCACUUCUCUUGGAGGAAAAAGAAACAAUACGAACAAUACAAUACAAACUGAGCACCCUUGCGACUGAAGAUGGAUGGCCUUCCUUGUUAAUCAUGAAUGAUUCAGAACAAUGACAAGUUAAGUCAGUAUCUCAAGUUAAGUCAAGGUUUGCGAUUGUAUUACCAGAGAAACGGAAUGGGAUGCAUGCAGAGACCUGUGGAAGCAGAUGUACCACACCACCUGGCUCCAGAAAUUCUGGAAACUACAGAGUUCUGUGGUCUACCACCCUUAAGCUGGGGAAGCAGGACAGCUGGUGGUGUAGUGUCAGUGCGAGCCAAAGCGAGCCAAAGGAAGGACAGAAGGAAGAAGACAACAGGCAGGACAGCACCAACAGAGGAAGUGAAUUCUCUCCCUUUUUGCUCUGACUAGCCAUCAAGGGCCGUAUCUAUCUAUCUAUCUAUCUAUCUAUCUAUCUAUCUAUCUAUCUAUCUAUCUAUCUAUCUAUCUAUCUAUCUACACGGUAUGCUUGCUAACGUACACAGAAGUGAGAGCAUCUUUUCUAGUCCAUCAAAUCAAAUGCUUGCCUUCUCUAGGCAUAGUGAAAACAACCUCUCACCAACUCCCUGGAGAUCCCUUAACCCAGUCAAGUUGACACACACAAUGCAGUUCAAGCUUAGAAUCAGGGAGAGUGUCCCGGUGAGGAGCAUCAGUUCCUCACCUGUUAGCAUGGUGAAUGCGGGGUUUAAAAGGUAAGGGAGCAGUGCGUGAGGAAAAGCCUGCCCUGCUGAGGAGGUGAAAGGGCUAGGGAGCAGCAGGUUGUUGUGAACAUGAAGUUUCUGUCCAGUCUGAUCGAGUGGGAUUAACUCCGCAUCUGGGAAUCUUACACUCUCCCGUUUCUCUCAUUUCCCUAACGCCUUGCUUUUACCUCUUCACAGCCUCUCGGAAGCCUGAGGAAUUUAUUAAUGAGGUCCAAUUAUGAGAAAUGUCAGGGUUUUAAUUAACUUUGGAUGUAUGGCUGACCGGUCCAGUUCAGCCCCCCCACCCCGAGAGAAUGCACAUUAAACAGGAUUUGCUAUGAAUUACAGUCGAUUUCCUUGCUGUUCUGCAAUUUCAGUCCUAUAAGCCCUUCCCCACCAUCCAUAGCACCCCCAUCUCCCCUUCCUCCUCCUCUUCCUCCCCAACCCCUGAUGUCACAUAGCAGUGGAUUUUAGCUGACCCCUGUGCCCCCACUUUGAAACAAUAUGAUAAGCAGAAAGCUGCAGACUAGUAGCACUGGCCGGCUUCUGUCUCAGGCUUCUCCUUCACUUGUGGCUUUUGACUAGGUGCUAUGGAGAGACUUUUCCUGGCCGUUCCCACUCUGCUCUCAGGGAUAAAUAGCCUGUUUGCUCUUCUGGGCUAUUUUUGAAGACAGAUUAGAGACUUGACAAAAACACUUGGAAUAACUCUUUGAGCAGGUUUUCCAGACACCAGUGGAAAGAAACAAAGACUUGGGUAAGAGAAUAAGAGAAUAAUACCGUUCUGUUUACCAUUCCUGAUGCUUCAAGCCUCACAAAACAAGCCGUGGGUCCUUUCCAACCAC